UACAGAGGGUGCAAGCGUUAAUCGGAAUUACUGGGCGUAAAGGGCGUGUAGGUGGUUGUUUAAGUUAGAUGUGAAAGCCCAGGGCUCAACCUUGGAACUGCAUCUAAAACUGGGCAACUAGAGUACGGUAGAGGGAAGUGGAAUUUCUAGUGUAGCGGUGAAAUGCGUAGAUAUUAGAAAGAACACCAGUGGCGAAGGCGACUUCCUGGACCGAUACUGACACUGAGGCGCGAAAGCGUGGGGAGCAAACAGG
rnacentral:rRNA from 1 species